rnacentral:snoRNA from 1 species
UGCAGUCUUGUCAAAUUCAGUGUUUCCUCUUCAGUGGACCACACUGGCCAAAAUGGCUGCAAUAGUGAAUAAGUAGUCUAUGGGCCCCAUGUUCUUAUAAAAUGAGUCCUGGGGAUAGAAAAGUCUACUAACAUGC